GUACUGAGAAGAGAGCUUUCUUCAGUCCACUCACGGGAGGUUAUAGGAUUCAAUUAGCUGCUGACUCAUUCAUCCAAAUACUGUGUUUCAAAAGGGCAGAAGAAAACCCAGUAAAUGAGUGAAUGAUGCGGGAGACAAGUUGGAUCUUAAGCUUCCUGUACUUGGACUGAAGGGAGCUCCCUUGAAUAUUCUA
rfam:Morus notabilis contig1833, whole genome shotgun sequence.